UGUGUACUCCCUCCGUUCCAAAAUACUUGACUUCCAUUUGUCCAAAAAUGGAUGUACCAUAUACAAAACAUGUCUAGAUACAUCUAUAUUUUGACAAAUAUAAGGCAUGUAUUGUGUAACAGAGGGAGUAGAAU
rnacentral:pre_miRNA from 1 species